CAUAAUCCGACUGGGCGGACGUCAGAUUACGUAAUUAAUAUUCAUGAGACAAGCUCUUUUAGAUCUUGGCCAAACACACAGAUCUUCACAAACGUCGGUCAGAGAGUUUGAUAACUACAACGCUUCAUCAUGGCAGAUGAAAAGGUAAACAAAGACAAGAGCAAAGACAAGAGUGAUGAUAAGGAUAAAGAUAAGCACAAAGAUAAAGAACAUAAAGACAAGAAGAAGAAAGACAAGGAGCACAAGAAGAAGGACGGUGACAAGUCCUCGUCUUCCUCCAGCGAUUCGGACUAAAGCAAGACUGAAGAUUCAUCAGAUACCUCCAAAAUCAUAAUUUAAAAUCUUUAUUAUAUGAUUUUUGUAGAUGUAUAACUGCAAUAUUAUGCAAUGCAGGGGUAGUAAUAAAUAAUUAUCAAUCUCUUGAAGUUUUCAUAAAGUUUGAGCUGUAAUUACAAACGUCCACAAGGUGGCGCUACUUGCAUGCCAAAUCUUCAGUGAAGCACUGGAAUAAAGAGACUUAUCAGCUAUUGUGUGUAAAAGUGAUUUCUGGUUUAAUAUAUUCUGAAAUUUGAAAACUUUUCAUCCAUUUUGUCUGAUAUUAACUUUCAGUGGUUGCUGGUUGGUGAACUAUUAUUGUUUUAAAUCUUGGCCAGUUUGUUGUACAAAUGUAGGCCAUGUUUGAGUGUGUAAUAAUCAAAUUUAAAGCAUUCAGCACAAAUUAACUGAUAUAUAUUAUCAAAAUAAAGCUUUAUCUAGUAACUCAGUUAAUUAGAAAUAGGUUAAAGAGUGUUAGGUUAUCCCACACCCUCUGAUUUUCACCAUGAAAAUGGAAAAAGUCAGUUGUCAACAUGACAAUAUCUUUGUCUAAACAGCACACUUAUGCAAAUGCAUGGUGGAUUUUGAAGGUUUCAGCACAGCUCUGUCUUGUUUGAGCACGAUUUGUUUGCUUAUUCAUCUAUGUUUGAGUACGGCACAGAUAAUUCAUCUGAACAGCAGGGACGAAACACGG
rnacentral:lncRNA from 1 species